UUACGACCACAUCGCGUUGGAACACCGGUUCCCUUGCGAUCAGCGAAGUUAAGCAACGCCGAGCCUGGUCCGUACCUAGAUAGGUGACCGCAUGGGAAUAUCAUGUGCUGUAAU